GCCCGGAUGGCGAAAUUGGCAGACGCGCAUGAUUCAGGUUCAUGUGUCCUUUUGGACAUGCAGGUUCGAUUCCUGUUCCGGGCA
rnacentral:tRNA from 1 species